UUACCUGGUUGAUCCUGCCAGUAGCAUAUGCUUGUCUUAAAGAUUAAGCCAUGCAUGCCUAAGUCCUAAUUAACUUCAAAUGAAACCGCAAAUGGCUCAUUAUAUCAGUCAUAAUUCACUCAGUGCAUACGGCCGGCUUGGUCUCGUUCGGAUAACUCCGGCAAAUCUAGAGCUAAUACGUGCAAUUAAGCCGUUACCCCCGCGCCGCCUUUCGGUAAACGGAAGCGGAUGGCGGGGUAGGGGCGCAGUUAUUGGAAUCAGAACCGGGUAUUUGAUACAAGGUUGUGAUGACUCCGGAUAUACAUUGCCGAGCGAUCAGGCCUCGUCGCCGCCGCCGCACGUUUAGAGUGAUUGCCUUAUCAGCUCUUUGGUACGGUAAGUCCGUACCGAGGCUGUAACGGGUAACGGGGAAUCAGGGUUCGAUUCCGGAGAGGGAGCCUGAGAAACGGCUACCACAUCUAAGGAAGGCAGCAGGCACGCAAAUUACCCACUCUCGGCUCGGGGAGGUAGUGACAAUAAAUACCGAUGCGAGACUUCAUCCGAGGCCUCGCAAUCGGAAUGAGCUCAAUCCAAACCCUUGUACGAUGAGCUAUUGGAGGGCAAGUCUGGUGCCAGCAGCCGCGGUAAUUCCAGCUCCAGUAGCAUAUACUAAAAUUGCUGUGGUUAAAAAGCUCGUAGUUGAACCUCUAUGAUUCCGGACGCGAGGGCCCGCCCAUCUCGUGCUUCGAAGGCGUACGCGCCGGCGCUCCCGACGUUCACGCGCUACCCAAAAGGCUUUUCCGCGAGUUCAUCCUCCCCUUAUCCUAACCCUUAACCGGGCGGUGUAGGAAAAGAGGCUCUGCUCCCGCACGAAGGAUCUGACCGAGUAGUGCGCGCGUGUGUCGUCGCGGUUCGUCGGCUCAGCCGAGAGGCCGGGCGGUCGUCCUCGAUCGUUCCGGAUGAAAAGGGUUUCGCCGUCCACCGCGGGGUGCUCUUCACCGGGUGUCCCCGCGCGGCCGGCGCGGUCACUUUGAUAAAAUUAGAGUGAUCAAAGCAGGCGAUUUAUCGUUCUGCCCGAAUGUCGUUGCAUUGCACGAUGGAAAAAGACCUCGGUUCGAUCGUUUCUCAUACUCGGUUCUCACGGACUCGAGGUAAUGAUUAACGGGGGCUGACGGGGGCAUUAGUAUUGCGGCGCGAGAGGUGAAAUUCUAUGACCGUCGCAAGACUACCUACUGCGAAGGCAUUUGCCAAGAAUGCUUUCACUAAUCAAGAACGAAAGUUAGAGGAUCGAAGGCGAUCAGAUACCGCCCUAGUUCUAACCAUAAACUAUGCCAACUAGCAAUCCGUCUGAGUCAUAUCCAAGACUUGGCGGGCAGCCCCCCGGGAAACCGAAGUUUUUUGGUUCCGGGGGGAGUAUGGUUGCAAAUCUGAAACUUAAAGGAAUUGACGGAAGGGCACCACCAGAAGUGGAGCCUGCGGCUUAAUUUGACUCAACACGGGGAACCUCACCAGACCCUGACAUCGUAAGGAUUGACAGAAUGAUAGCUCUUUCUCGAUUCGAUGGAUGGUGGUGCAUGGCCGUUCUUAGUUGGUGGAGUGAUUUGUCUGGUUGAUUCCGAUAACGAACGAGACUCUUUCCUACUAAGUAGUCGGCGGAUCGUUUCCCGAUCGCGGGCUCUUCCGGCGAGGGCUCGGUGGGGUCGCGGGUCUGCGGCGCGUUUUUAUUGGCGGCGGCGGCGCCGGCGGGCCCGGAAAUAGGAGAUUGGGGAAGUAAGAGGCUCGUCCUCCCUUCUUCUCUCUAUAACCUAUCUUCCGGCGUUUCGUCGACGUUCAAAACCUAGGUAUUACGCGUCGUAUUACCCCUUCCCCGCUAGCCGAGUCAACCCUCGUCCGGGGUCCCGCUAGGGGCGUCCGUCCGCAACUCUUCUUAGAGGUAUCGGCGGCGUCCAGCCGCACGAGAUUGAGCAAUAACAGGUCUGUGAUGCCCUUAGAUGUUCUGGGCCGCACGCGCGCUACAAUGAAGGUAGCAGCGAGCUUCCCCCCCUCCGAGAGGAGUGGGUAAUCCCAUUAAACUCCUUCUCGAUGGGGAUCGGGGCUUGCAAGUGUUUCCCGUGAACGAGGAAUUCCCCGUAAGGACGGGUCAUGAGUUCGCUCUGACUACGUCCCUGCCCUUUGUACACACCGCCCGUCGCUACUACCGAUGAAUGAUUGAGUGAGGGAGUUGGACUGCCAACCCGAAGGCCGCCGAGCGGCGCGUCCGUGCCUCCGCGCCCGGCCGUCGCGGCGUUUACCCUCGGGUCAGCGCGGAAAGACGUCCGAACUCGAUUAUUUAGAGGAAGUAAAGUCGUAACAAGGUUUUCGUAGGUGAACUG
rnacentral:rRNA from 1 species